UGGGGAAUUUUGGACAAUGGGGGCAACCCUGAUCCAGCCAUGCCGCGUGGGUGAAGAAGGCCUUCGGGUUGUAAAGCCCUUUCGGUGGAGACGAAACGGUGCGUGCUAACACCACGCACUACUGACGGUACCCACAGCAGAAGCACCGGCCAACUACGUGCCAGCAGCCGCGGUAAUACGUAGGGUGCAGGCGUUAAUCGGAAUUACUGGGCGUAAAGCGUGCGCAGGCGGUUUGCUAAGACAGGUGUGAAAUCCCCGGGCUUAACCUGGGAACUGCGCUUGUAACUGGCAAGCUUGAGUGUGGCAGAGGGGGGUGGAAUUCCACGUGUAGCAGUGAAAUGCGUAGAGAUGUGGAGGAACACCGAUGGCGAAGGCAGCCCCCUGGGUUAACACUGACGCUCAUGCACGAAAGCGUGGGGAGCAAAC
rnacentral:rRNA from 1 species